ACGGGGCCCGCACAAGCGGAGGAGCAUGUGGUUUAAUUCGAUGAUACGCGACGGAACCUUACCUGGGCUCGAACGUAAGAUGACUGUAGGUGAAAGCUUACAUCUCUUCGGAGCAUUUUACGAGGUGCUGCAUGGUUGUCGUCAGCUCGUGCCGUGAGGUGUCGGGUUAAGUCCCAUAACGAGCGCAACCCUACCUUUAGUUGCCAUCAGGUAAUGCUGGGGACUCUAAAGGAACUGCCUACGCAAGUAGUGAGGAAGGCGGGGAUGACGUCAAAUCAGCACGGCCCUUACGUCCAGGGCUACACACGUGCUACAAUGGCCGAUACAGAGGGCAGCUACCUGGUGACAGGAUGCAAAUCUCCAAAGUCGGUCUCAGUUCGGAUCGGAGUCUGCAACCCGACUCCGUGAAGUUGGAUUCGCUAGUAAUCGCGCAUCAGCCAUGGCGCGGUGAAUACGUUCCCGGGCCUU
rnacentral:rRNA from 1 species